rnacentral:misc_RNA from 1 species
UACCUUGGGAAUUUUCAAUAAUGCCUGCUUCAAAGGUUGUACCUAUUUUCAUUUGUAAGUUAUUUUCCACUUUUUAUGCAAACCACAGCUUCAUAAAGCAUAAACAAGAGUUUUUCAUUCCCUAGACUUAACUAUAUAUGCAAAGGAUGAAAACAAUGUCAUUCAUUAGCUGUUCAUUGUGGACCAUAAAGCCAUGAAGUAAAAGCCAAACAGUAUUAACAGAACACAGCAAGCAAAG